GCUUUAUUAAAACGGUCAAAGGCUCGCCUAGCGACCGGGAGGUCAUGGGUUCGAUCCCCACUGUUGAGCG
rnacentral:tRNA from 1 species